rnacentral:rRNA from 1 species
AACGAACGCUGGCGGCAGGCUUAACACAUGCAAGUCGAACGCCCCGCAAGGGGCGUGGCAGACGGGUGAGUAACGCGUGGGAACAUACCCUUUACUGCGGAAUAGCUCCGGGAAACGGGAAUUAAUACCGCAUACGCCCUACGGGGGAAAGAUUUACCGGGGAAGGAUUGGCCCGCGUUGGAUUAGCUAGUUGGUGGGGUAAAGGCCUACCAAGGCGACGAUCCAUAGCUGGUCUGAGAGGAUGAUCAGCCACAUUGGGACUGAGACACGGCCCAAACUCCUACGGGAGGCAGCAGUGGGGAAUAUUGGACAAUGGGCGCAAGCCUGAUCCAGCCAUGCCGCGUGAGUGAUGAAGGCCUUAGGGUUGUAAAGCUCUUUCACCGAUGAAGAUAAUGACGGUAGUCGGAGAAGAAGCCCCGGCUAACUUCGUGCCAGCAGCCGCCGCGGUAA